rnacentral:tmRNA from 1 species
GGGGGCGUACCGGUUUCGACGGGGAUGCCGGGGUAUGAUAAGCGGGUCGUGGCGCCAUUACACGUUAAAAGGGCAACCUUUAUAAAUUAAGUAACGAAAAUAAUUUCGCUUACGCUGCCUAAUUAGGCGGCCGUUCGACCCGGGAGUACCACGGCCCGGGCUCGGGCGUCGAUUAGUGGUGAACGUGCCUAUCGCGUCCUCGGACGCGUCGCAAAGCUUUGAGCAUAGGCAUGAAUUAUGAAGCUACCGAAUCUUUCAGUCCGCCGGCAGACGGUUAGAUAAGGGAAUUUAAAUUGUCGGCUGCACCCGGAGAAAAUCAUACGGAAGUAUUUUCGGACAGGGGUUCAACUCCCCUCGCCUCCACCA